UUUGAUGUUCGUAUUUGGAUAGUAAAUACGUCCGAGGCCGCACGCUCCGUCUAAACAAUAAUAAAUCAAUGCACAAAAACAAUAUAAAGCAAAACAGUUAACUUUAUCAGCGCAUAAAUCACAGUGUUUCACACUCCAAAUGUAUUUUCACAUUAGCAGAGAGAGCGCUGCGUUGGUGCACUUCAAGGACAUAAAUUAGGUCACAAACUUAACAUCUAUGUUUAAAUUGAAAGGAAUUUUUGAUGCAUAAUUUAACUAAAUCAAAUCGAAUCAACAAGUUCACGGCAUGCAUUUGGUCUAUUGUCGCGCUGGUACCUUGGACAACAGCGGAACUGGACUGCAGGAUGGCUUGCAAGCACUGCAGAAUCAAACAGACUCCUAAAGAGUUACUGGAAGUAUACUGUGCCAUGUGCAACGAAUGCAAUGAAAAGAAGACCGAGAGAGGAAAACCGUUGUCGAAGCGAAGGAACUGGUACAGUAUGCCUCCAGAUUGUGAGCCGCUUGACAAUAAUUCGGAACCUGAAAUGCCAAAUUGCGACAACGAACCAGAAUCGGGAAAGUACGUAACUCAACCAGCAUUGCCCCCGUGCGAAUAUGUACCGCAAAUGCCGCCGUGCGAAUAUGUACCAUAUAUGCCGCCGUGCGAAUACGUACCACAAAUGCCGCCAUGCGUAACUGAAACCAUAGUAGAGCUGAAGAAAACAACAACAAGUACAACAACGACUACGACAACGACUACGACAACGACAACGACAACGACAACACCUCCGCCGCCUCCAAGGUGUCGCCCUCCGCAGUGCCGGCCGGCCCGACCUUGCUACUGCAUGCCCUUCAUGCCCAUGUCGUGGUGCCCCUGCCCGACCCAGUACCAACAACCGACUGAACCAACCAACGGACCAAUACCCCUCACACAGACCAUGCCGAAAACAUCGCAGUCACCAGUUAAUAAAGAUUAUUCAUAUGUGUAUGUGGGUGUACCCAAAGCUUUGUUAAAUUAAAAGUACGAAUAGACAUCCUUGUUUAUUAAAGCGAAAUCGCAUGUAAUUUUUAUAUUAUAAGUUAUAUACAGUGUGGCGCAUAAUGGCGACAUUAAAAUAUGAAUACACAGGUAGAGUUAUUGAAAUUUUCAAAUUUUCAAACAAAAAAAUUAUAUAUUUAGGAAACAAAAUUUUAAUCACCCUUACGUGGUCGCAUUAUAAUGGCACGAAGGUGUCAGUACCUACGCUAGCGCGCGGCUACUAGAUUUCUUACAGGUUGUUCCGAAAUGAUAUUUGAUGUUUCUUAUUUUUAAAUAUAUUUUUAUGGUUACGUUUAAGAAGUUCUACCCGCAUGUUUAUUUAAUAUAGCUAUUGUAGCGCCACGCUGUUUAAUAUUUAAUCGAUGCAUAUAAAUAAACAGAACUUAUACCAAAAAGUACUUUUUUAUCGUC